GACGAACGCUGGCGGCGUGCCUAAUACAUGCAAGUAGAACGCUGAAGAGAGGAGCUUGCUCUUCUUGGAUGAGUUGCGAACGGGUGAGUAACGCGUAGGUAACCUGCCUGGUAGCGGGGGAUAACUAUUGGAAACGAUAGCUAAUACCGCAUAAAAUGGAUUAUCGCAUGAUAAUCCAUUGAAAGGUGCAAAUGCAUCACUACCAGAUGGACCUGCGUUGUAUUAGCUAGUUGGUGGGGUAACGGCUCACCAAGGCGACGAUACAUAGCCGACCUGAGAGGGUGAGCGGCCACACUGGGACUGAGACACGGCCCAGACUCCUACGGGAGGCAGCAGUAGGGAAUCUUCGGCAAUGGACGGAAGUCUGACCGAGCAACGCCGCGUGAGUGAAGAAGGUUUUCGGAUCGUAAAGCUCUGUUGUAAGAGAAGAACGAGUGUGAGAGUGGAAAGUUCACACUGUGACGGUAUCUUACGAGAAAGGGACGGCUAACUACGUG
rnacentral:rRNA from 1 species